AUUUCGUUUGUCAAGUAUGGAGAAUCUGUAAAGCUCAGGAGGGAUAGCGCCAUGAUAAUAUUCUUUUUUAAUUAAUUAAUUAAUUCCUUGAUCAAUUAGCGGCGCUGGCGCUAUCUAUCCUGAGUUUUCCGGAUUCUUCUUGCUAGUUUUGGUGCAGUU
rnacentral:pre_miRNA from 1 species